rnacentral:lncRNA from 1 species
ACAGAAAAUGAUAUCUAGACUAGAUACAGUGUUUAUUUUCGCAGUUACUUGGAGACUACGUAACAGUGAAUUUACAAGCAUAAUUCUACUAGCAACAAAUUAAAUCUGGAGAUUUAGACAUCUUUUUAAAAGCACUCUGGAUUACUUUCAUCUAUAAAGCUGCAGAAUUUUUGAGAAAAAAAGUCUUACUGUGCAGCAGACUAAAUUUUAGAAUUCACUUGGCUUGCAUCAUACUGGGAAUGAAUUAAUGAAAAGCCAAAAGAUGGUGUCCGGGAUUCUAAUACAUGUAUUUUGUCCAAAGCAGUUUCCUGAUGAGAAGAAUCUGAAAAAAAGCUCAUGCAUUGCUUCCAAAGGAAAAAAAUUAUUCUUGCAUGUUAGAACAGUAGAAGUUAUUACUCGUAAUUAAUUAGCUGGAAGGCAAAUCUGGCCAUUCGUAUGAAAAAUUAGUUUGGAUCAUCACUCUGUUCCUGCUAGUGAACAAUACAGUUAUCUUGCAAAAUUGCCGUGUACAAAGAACAGUUUUUCAUUGACAAAGAAUAAUAUUACAGUAUUUUCGAAAGAUGCUGAAUUUCAUAAAGUAGAAAACCGAUGUAAAAUCUGCAACAAGAAAUUUUCAACUCCCGGGAGUCUUAGAAGACAUAUGGAACUUCACUUCUAUCAGAGAAAGAACUUUCAUUGCCAACUGUGUGGUAAAAGAUUUUCGUGGAAAACUGAUCUACGUAAUCAUCUUAAAAGAACUCAUGGUUCAUAAGCAUUAUAAUGAUAAUUUUUCAUUUUCAGAUUAAUUUCUCUUCAGCAAUGAGCUUUCAGACUAUCAUCUUAAAUCAGAUAUAAUAGCAAUGAACAUAUGAAUUUUUUAAUGAAGUCUUUUAAAUAGACUCUAUAUGUUGAAUUUUUUAUAUAUAUUAAAAAUGAAAGAAAUUUAACUAUAUAGUUAUUUAUAUUCUUAAUUUUCUCUCUCUCUCUCUCUUUUUUUUUUUUUUUUUUUUUUUUUUUUUGUAUGGACAUGCAGAUUUUGAUGGUUUCUUGAAAGCAUACAUUCUGAAGUGAAUAAUCAUAUGUGUGUUGCAAUAACAUAAUCAACCAACUAAUACUUCUGUACUGUAAAUAUCUUUUAAUUGUUUGAGCAGAAAAAUACAGGUUUAGAUAAUCUGGAAAAAAAUAUUAAUUUAUAUUGCUUCUUAUGUUUAUAAAUAUUUUUAAAUGAUUAAAGUAAUUAAUUUAUACAUGUGUUUGUAUUUUUUUUUUUUUUUUUUAAAUUUUUGUCUCUACAUAUUCAUGGUAUUUGAAAUUUUACUGAGUUCUGAUUUAUUAAAUUUUCAAGUAUUUCAUAUAUCUUUCUGUAUAACUCUAUUAUUAAAUAAUAGAGGAGCUGUAUGUCCCUUGCACUAAACAAUGAGACCUCCAUCCAAACAUAUGCACCUUAAAGCUCAAAUUUUGAAUUUCAAAUUUUUUUUUCAUUUAUUUCAUAUUUUAUGCGAAUAUAAUGAGGUUUUGGACAAAAUGAGCAGUUUAAAAGCUAGCAGUGGCAACAUUGUUUGAAAUGAAACAUUUUUACCUCAGUGCAUCAGACUGUUGCGGUUUGGCAAAUAUAAGAUUUUUAUUUUUCAGUUUUAAUCAACAAAUUUGGCUAUUUAAAAGUAUUAUGUUGCUGCUGUCUGAAAUAAAAUACUUUUAUCUUCCAUGUAAAAGUGUGUCCAUCAGUAUGUUACUAUUCAGUAAAGUAUAAGUUAAAACUUUCAAAUUUAUGUGUCUGUAAUUGUCAGUUUUAAUCUAACAACCCAGGCGAUUUAAAAGCAAUAAACACAGUUCUUAAGACUAUUAUUUUCUUUUCAAUCUGAUUAAUUUAUAUAAAAAUGUAUUUAAAUAAGAUCUCUAGUUAGAAAUACUAAAUAUUUUUAUGAAAUUGCUCUAGCUGAACUAACUAAAAUAAUUAAUAUUUUUAAAAUUUUUAUGAUAGGCAGCAGGCCAUGCAAGCAGCUAUUAAAUUCAUAAAUUGUGCAUUUACAGAUACAAUAAUUUUGGUCAUUUUGUUCUGAUUAGAAGGCACAAAAAGUAUCUUAUGUAAUUAAAACACAUAAAGUUUCAUAAUGAUUUUUUUCUAAAUAUUACACCUUUAUAGUACAACUAUACUUAAACAUCAGCAGCUUUUUUUUUUUUUUUAUGGUAUGGAUAAAUUAUUUUGGUUUGUUAAAAAUCUUUUUGAUGAUUUAAAUUCAGUGACUAAGUUUUAUGGAAACAUAUAUGCAGCAUACUGCAUGCGUAGAUGCAGCUAAUAUGCAGCAGCGUCAUUACUAACUAAAUUUUGAAUGGUGAAAGAGUAACCAGAGUUUCCGUUUUAUAGAUCUCAUAAUGAAAGCAUAUUCACUUACUGCAAAGUAUCAGACUGAAGACAGAAAAGGGAAGACAUAUCAUUCUUUUUGCAGAAAGAGAAAAAUCUUUCUUUCUUCAUAUGGCUAGUAAAAUAUGUAAUAGUUAAUUUAUUUUAAGUGUAGAAAAGUUUGCGUAGAAUAUUGUUUAUUGUGAUCAUGAUUAAAGUUAACAAUUGGAUAUUAUCAUCAGUUUGUUGAAGUGCUACUCGUUUGUAUUCAGAAACAUUGAAAAUUCAUUAUUUUUUAUAAUCAGCAAGUUCUUUAAUAUAUUAAAAACAGUGCAGUAUGAGUUGUUUCUUUCAAAUCAAAAUGAUAUGCUUUUAAUGUUUUUAUCAUUUUAUGGUGAUUUUGGUGUAUGUGUUUAAUCAUUUAAGGAAUUCAAACACUUUACAACUUUCUAAGUUUUUUUUUUUUUUUUUUUAAUCUGAGGCAUGUAAAAGUGUAAUUAUCUGAAUAGGUAAAAAUGCUAUAAACUAUUGCAUAGAUAUCAUCAAUAGUUUUAAUGAAUGAAUAUUGAAAUAGAGUAAUGGAAUGAGUAAUGUUUUUCAUUCUUUGUUUGAGUUAUAUGAUGCAUUGCAUAAGUUUAAAAUUUAAAUUUUAUUCCUUUCUGUUGAAAUUUUAUUCCUUCUAACAACUCACACACCUAUAACUCAAAUGUAUGGUGAAAGAUUCAUGAGAGCAAUGAAAGGCUAUCUUGGUGAAAUGAUCAGUGACCAUUUGCAGUGUGGAAGAUAUUGACAUAAGUGCAAUAGGUUGACAAAGAAAUCUUCAUAAUGCUUCAUAAGGAAAUCUAUAUAUGAACAUAGUAGCCAUAGUUCUUUGUAUAGUAUAUCAACUAUAGAUGAUAUUUUGUGAAGCAUCUAGCAGUAUAUUUUACUGAAAAACAGAGAUGCAAAGGACCUACAAAUAAAUUUUUUCCCCAUCAAAAUAAAAAAUAUGUGAGAAAGGGCAUGAUGAUAAAAAAUAUAUAAAAAAGAUUUGAGGUAGUAAGAUAAAUUUCCAAUGAAAAAAAAAAAAAAAAAAAAGGAAAGAUGCUUAUUCAAAAAGACAAAAACAAUUCAUAUAUGCAUCAUUUUGUGUAUAAGGGAUGCAAGCACUGCUGUUUAUGUGAAAUAUUCGUAUGGCUAUAGCAUGCCUUAAAUUGUGCAUUUAUGAUUUAAAGCUUAAGGAAUUUUUAAGUAAACUUUUUUGUUUUAGAAAUAUGCAAAUUUAAGAAAUAUAAAAUAUGUUUCUAAUUAAAUAUUUUCAGUUGUUU